CCUACGGGAGGCAGCAGUGGGGAAUCUUGCACAAUGGGCGAAAGCCUGAUGCAGCGACGCCGCGUGCGGGAUGAAGGCCUUCGGGUUGUAAACCGCUUUCAGCAGGGACGAGGCCGCAAGGUGACGGUACCUGCAGAAGAAGCCCCGGCUAACUACGUGCCAGCAGCCGCGGUAAU
rnacentral:rRNA from 1 species